GGGGGAGGAAGGCAGCCGGGAGAAGGAAAGCUGGGACGGGCCGGGACCACAGGAGCCCCAGCCCCACACAGCAACCACCCGGGCGAGAAAGAAAGAAAGAGCCAGGGAGGCGGGCGAAGCGCGGGGAGAGAAGCAGAGAAGAAAUAUUCACCUUCCCGCCUCAUGCCCACUUUGAGGCACUUCUUGAGGCGGCAGUAUUGGCACUGGUUGCGGUGGUGCUGGUCGAUGGGACAGUUCCUGUUGGCACGGCAUGUCAGGUAGAUGAAACUCAAGAGAAAAGGUGUGGAUAAAUGAAACUAGCCCAUGAUGAACCUGUUUUCUCCGUGACCACAAUAUUAACCAGGAUGAAUGGCGGUGGCAGUGGGCCUGCAUCACAGGUUGCAGCAGAUGUUCUCAAUAUUUCUAUUAAAAUUUCCUUAUUUCCAUAUGCAAGAGGAGCCCCAGAGCUGCAUCCUUAUGGUAGCUACCAUGCCGUGAUGUAAGCUGCCAUUCACUGGGGAGCUUUGGCAAUAGAAUUGGCUAGAUCAGGAAGCCUAUGUCAACUAUGGAACAACAACUUGCAGCUCAUCUCUAUUGAUGGUGAAACAGUCGCAAAUGGAAUUCCAAGAAACAUUCUAUCAUCAGGUAUUAUCUACUGCUGUCUGCAGAAUUCAGACAUGGAGGGCUCAAUGGUGUCCCCUGGUCUUUGGAACAUUCUGUAUUUUAAUGAUCAUGAUACACUGCCUCUAGGACUGGGACAGAUAGCCACUGAGUACCUGCUUCAAAUCACCCUGCACGUUUUCUCUUUGGAAAGAUAAGCACUGGAGAACCAUCUCGUUACCUUCAGCAGAAAUGGAAACAAAUCAAGACAUUAAGAAUGCCGCAGUGGACAGCAGUUAUGCAAGGUUCAGCAGAGGAAGUUUUCAAGAUGGUGUGCCUCACUAGCCAGAAAUCAGAAAAGAUCGAAGCUAGCCUUUUCAUCUCAGCUGCUCCUUAAAUCAGUGCAACCCCUCCAAAUUAAUGUGAAUUGAAACUUGCAUUGCUUUUCAACUUAAUUGAAUACUUACUAUAUGUGAACCACUGCACAAAAUAGGGGAAGAAGAUGUGGGAGACAAAGAUGUGGAGCCUGUCUUCAAUAAAUUUACAGUUAGUUUCAGGGUACAUUGUUUUUCUUCUGCUGUUAAUUAGGUGUAUCCCCAAGACAAUAAAUACAUGAAUGGAAAAGUAUAUUCUGUGUUUUAAGUCUCUUUAAUAAAAAACAAAACAAAAUCCAAAAAAACUCCUAACAUGGCAACUCAGGACAUUUUAAUCCUUUUUUUUGUUGUUGGGCUUCUGAUAGGAUCCAUUUUAUUGAUUCCAUAAAUAUUUAGUAGACUUUAGACAUAUUAAUACAUUGUAGUUUGAGUUAAUUUGCAUUAAAUUCUGUUUUUUUCCCCUUAGGUAUAGAUUGUCUGUUGGAAAAAUAUAUUGCUUGUGGAUUUCUUGGGGAGUGGGAAGGUGAAUUAUACCUGUUGUCUCUACAGUCCACUACCUUCCACACCCUAGGGCAGUGGUCCCCAACCUUCUUGGCACCAGGGAUCAGUUUCCUGGAAGACAAUUUUUCUGUGGAUGGUGUGGGGAUGGUUUUGGGAUGGAACUGUUCCACCUCAGAUCAUCAGGCAUUAGUUAGGCUCUCAUAACGAGUGCGCAGCCUAGAUCCCUCACAUGCACAGUUCACAGUAGGGUUUGCGCUGCUAUGAGAAUCUAAGGCUGCCACUGAUCUGACAGGAGGCAGAACUCAGGUGGCAAUGCUUACUGGCCCACUGCUCACCUCUUGCUGUGCGGCCUGGUUCCUAAUAGGCCAUGGACCCCCACAGACGGGUACUAGUCUGCAGCCUGUGGACCCCAGCCCUAGGGGCCUGCCAUUCUGAGUGAGUUAUUAGCAUGAAGAAGAGGAAGAUCUGGAUCAAACGUGGGUGAUGGUACUCAGAGACCCAAGAUAGGAUAGGGAUGGAACAAAAUCCAUCUGGGCAACGGCUCUAUGAAAAUUUGGCUAAGUAAUUAUUUCAGUAUUCAUUGUAUUCAUUGUCCUUCGUGUUCCAUAAGUUAAAUGACUGUCUAAUUUUUCCAAAAAUUUAUUUCUGACUUGAGAAUAAGUGUGUCAUGAUUUUCCCAGUGUAAAGACACUGAUAUAACUGUAGAUACCAGACAUUUUAUGUAGUGUCUAUGACACAUUUUAGUAUGUAUGAGCCAACAAUAGACAUGUCUUUGUCUUGAGGAGUGUCCAUCUGAAUUGAAAAUGUGUCAGCUUUUUUUUAACAUCAUCAACAGACUUCUUAAUUAAGCUGCCAAUACAUACUGCCAAUAGCACUGUGUGCUGUCUGAGAAAUGCAUUGUGUAAGUGCUAUUUCCAUCUUAUUAAAUAAACAAUGUUGCUCUGUAUAAACUGGAUUUAAAGUGUUCUUUGAAUGAGGCAUUAUAUUGCUCCAUAAAUAAUGUGAUGUGAAUUCUCAUAUGAUCCCUUUUAACUUAAUUUCUAAAAAAAUAUUAUUUGCUCCUCAGUAAGGAAUAGCUCUAAUUGGACUGGUAACUUUAGUGAUAUGAUUUGUCUGUAACAGGCUGAAUCGCCCCACUCCCAAACUCCUGGUCGUGAUACUGGAUAUUUGUUAUGCCACUUUUAGUUUGCAUGAGGUAUCUUCCAGGAAGUAUUAGUUAUUAACUUGUGU
ensembl:lncRNA NR2F1-AS1 NR2F1 antisense RNA 1